UACGUAGGUGGCAAGCGUUAUCCGGAAUUAUUGGGCGUAAAGCGAGCGCAGGCGGUUCCUUAAGUCUGAUGUGAAAGCCCACGGCUUAACCGUGGAGGGUCAUUGGAAACUGGUCGACUUGAGUGCAGAAGAGGGAAGUAGAAUUCCAUGUGUAGCGGUGAAAUGCGUAGAGAUAUGGAGGAACACCAGUGGCGAAGGCGGCUUCCUGGUCUGUAACUGACACUGAGGCGCGAAAGCGUGGGGAGCAAACAGGAUUAGAUACCCGU
rnacentral:rRNA from 1 species